rnacentral:rRNA from 1 species
UGGGGAAUCUUGCGCAAUGGGCGAAAGCCUGACGCAGCAACGCCGCGUGAGCGAAGAAGGCCUUCGGGUUGUAAAGCUCUGUCAGGAGGGACGAAGCCACUCGGGUGAACAGCCCAGAGGGUGACGGUACCUCCAGAGGAAGCCCCGGCUAACUACGUGCCAGCAGCCGCGGUCAUACGUAGGGGGCGAGCGUUGUCCGGAAUCAUUGGGCGUAAAGCGCGUGUAGGCGGCUUGGCAAGUCUGGUGUUAAAGCACGAGGCUCAACCUCGAGUCUGCACCGGAAACUGCCGUGCGAGAGUCCGGAAGAGGAGACUGGAAUUCCUGGUGUAGCGGUGAAAUGCGCAGAUAUCAGGAAGAACACCGGUGGCGAAGGCGGGUCUCUGGGACGGUACUGACGCUGAGACGCGAAAGCGUGGGGAGCAAACA